rnacentral:rRNA from 4 species
GAGAGUUUGAUCCUGGCUCAGGGUGAACGCUGGCGGCGUGUUUAAGGCAUGCAAGUCGAACGGUUCGUACCGCAAGGUACGGACAGUGGCAAACGGGUGAGUAACACAUUGGUAACCUACCCUUCACAGGAGAAUAACCCCGCGAAAGUGGGGCUAAUACUCCGUACGUUCUGGUAGCGUCUGCUAUCAGAAGAAAGUUUUUCGGUGAAGGAGGGGCCUAUGUCCCAUCAGCUUGUUGGUAAGGUAACGGCUUACCAAGGCUAUGACGGGUAGCGGGUGUGAGAGCACGACCCGCCUCACUGGGACUGAGAUACUGCCCAGACACCUACGGGUGGCUGCAGUCGAGAAUCUUCCCCAAUGGACGAAAGUCUGAGGGAGCGACGCCGCGUGACCGAAGAAGCCCUUCGGGGUGUAAAAGUCUUUUCUCAGGGAAAAACCAGCGAUGGUACCUGAGGAAUAAGAGGCUGCAAACUUCGUGCCAGCAGCAGCGGUAAUACGAAGGCCUCAAGCGUUACCCGGAUUUAUUGGGCGUAAAGCGUUCAAAGGUGGCUUUGUAAGUCGAACGUUAAAUCCUCAUGCUCAACAUGAGGGCCGCGUUCGAAACUGCAAGGCUCGAGGAUGGGAGAGGCAGAUGGAAUUGCCGGUGUAGCAGUAAAAUGCGUUAAUAUCGGCAGGAACACCAAAGGCGAAGGCAUUCUGCUGGAACAAUCCUGACACUGAAAGAACGAAAGCGUGGGGAGCGAAUAGGAUUAGAUACCCUAGUAGUCCACGCCGUAAACGAUGAGUGCUAGGCAUUGGUAGUUUCGACCCUAUCAGUGCCGUUUACUCAAGCUAACGCUUUAAGCACUCCGCCUGGGGAGUACGGCCGCAAGGCUAAAACUCAAAGGAAUUGACGGGAGCCCGCACAAGCGGUGGAGCAUGUGGUUUAAUUCGAUGGUAAGCGAGGAACCUUACCUGGAUUCUUCCUAUGGAAGCUCUCAGAAAUGAGGGUGUGCCGCAAGGAACCAUAGGCAGGGUGAUGCACGGCUGUCGUCAGCUCGUGUCGUGAGAUGUACCGUUAAGUCGGAAAACGAGCGCAACCCCCGUGGUAUGUUGUAUAUUCAUACCAGACUGCCCUCUUUAAGAGGGAGGAAGGAGGGGAUGACGUCAAGUCAGCGUGUCCCUUACGUCCAGGGCUACACACGUGCUACAAUGGCGAGUCACAGCGGGUCGCAAAGCGGCAACGCUUAGCAAAUCCAUAAAACUCGCCCCAGUUCGGAUUGAGGUCUGCAACUCGACCUCAUGAAGUUGGAAUCGCUAGUAACCGCGUAUCAGCCAUGGCGCGGUGAAUACGUUCUCGGGCUUUGUACACGGGACGCCUGGCAGUUUUUAUCAACCAGUCAGUGGAAGUCUGACAAGGUGGCAGUAGACUACCUUAAGUGAAAUCGCAGGUGCAUAUCGCGAGGUAUGCACUGAAGGGCGAAAGUAACAUUUUUCAGCUUGAGUCUUCGAAAGGCUUAUCUUGUGCGCGACUCUGCGUGUACAUGAGGAAGCGAUCUACUAUUCAUAAACAAGAUAAGUGACGGAAGACCGAAGAUGAGAAAAAAUGGUGAUAAAAGUGACCCAGGGAGAUCUUGUUAGGGUGCUCGGGGAAUGAUAGAAUAUCGUGAUGAAAUUGAAACCGAGUAAGGAAAUUGCGGCAACGCAACUUCCGAAUCUAACAAGGAGUCAGCAGAGGCCGUAGUAAUCCUGAUACGUCGGGAUGAAGGGCCGAACCUGUAUGCAAAAAUUCGAUCCUAUUCUAAGAAGCAUUACAGGAACCGCUAGGGUACGGGAAAACCGUUUGCCCAGUGGUGUGAGAAUUUGGAAACAAAUAUCUCAAUACCGCCCGUCACGUCAAGGGAGCCGGCAAUACCCGAAAUUUCUGCACGAAUAGCAGAGCCUAAGGUAGGGCUGGUGACAGGGACGAAGUCGUAACAAGGCAUGGGUAGCGGAAGCUGUCCAUGGAUCACCUCCUUUCUA